UUGUAUCAUAUGCUUUUCUCAAAGAUUAAGCCAUGCAUGUCUAAGUAUAAGCAAUUAUACCGUGAAACUGCGAAUGGCUCAUUAAAUCAGUUAUCGUUUAUUUGAUAGUACCUUACUACUUGGAUAACCGUGGUAAUUCUAGAGCUAAUACAUGCUGAAAACCCCAACUUCGGGAGGGGUGUAUUUAUUAGAUAAAAAACCAACGCCCUUCGGGGCUUCUUGGUGAUUCAUGAUAACUUCACGGAUCGCAUGGCCUUGCGCCGGCGACGGUUCAUUCAAAUUUCUGCCCUAUCAACUUUCGAUGGUAAGGUAUUGGCUUACCAUGGUUUCAACGGGUAACGGGGAAUUAGGGUUCGAUUCCGGAGAGGGAGCCUGAGAAACGGCUACCACAUCCAAGGAAGGCAGCAGGCGCGCAAAUUACCCAAUCCCGACACGGGGAGGUAGUGACAAUAAAUACUGAUACAGGGCUCUUUUGGGUCUUGUAAUUGGAAUGAGUACAAUUUAAACCUCUUAACGAGGAACAAUUGGAGGGCAAGUCUGGUGCCAGCAGCCGCGGUAAUUCCAGCUCCAAUAGCGUAUAUUAAAGUUGUUGCAGUUAAAAAGCUCGUAGUUGAAACUUGGGCCUGGCUGGCAGGUCCGCCUCACCGCGUGUACUUGUCCGGCCGGGCCUUUCCUUCUGGAGAACCUCAUGCCCUUCACUGGGUGUGUUGGGGAACCAGGACUUUUACUUUGAAAAAAUUAGAGUGUUCAAAGCAGGCCUUUGCUCGAAUACGUUAGCAUGGAAUAAUAGAAUAGGACGUGCGGUCCUAUUUUGUUGGUUUCUAGGACCGCCGUAAUGAUUAAUAGGGACAGUCGGGGGCAUCAGUAUUCAAUUGUCAGAGGUGAAAUUCUUGGAUUUAUUGAAGACUAACUACUGCGAAAGCAUUUGCCAAGGAUGUUUUCAUUAAUCAGUGAACGAAAGUUAGGGGAUCGAAGACGAUCAGAUACCGUCGUAGUCUUAACCGUAAACUAUGCCGACUAGGGAUCGGGCGAUGUUCUUUUUCUGACUCGCUCGGCACCUUACGAGAAAUCAAAU
rnacentral:rRNA from 1 species